AGUCCUUCGGGACCGAGCGGCGGACGGGUUAGUAACGCGUGGGAACAUACCCCUUUCUACGGAAUAGCCUCGGGAAACUGAGAGUAAUACCGUAUAAGCCCUUCGGGGGAAAGAUUUAUCGGGAAGGGAUUGGCCCGCGUUAGAUUAGAUAGUUGGUGGGGUAAUGGCCUACCAAGUCUACGAUCUAUAGCUGGUUUUAGAGGAUGAUCAGCAACACUGGGACUGAGACACGGCCCAGACUCCUACGGGAGGCAGCAGUGGGGAAUCUUAGACAAUGGGCGCAAGCCUGAUCUAGCCAUGCCGCGUGUGUGAUGAAGGUCUUAGGAUCGUAAAGCACUUUCGCCAGGGAUGAUAAUGACAGUACCUGGUAAAGAAACCCCGGCUAACUCCGUGCCAGCAGCCGCGGUAAUACGGAGGGGGUUAGCGUUGUUCGGAAUUACUGGGCGUAAAGCGUACGUAGGCGGAUCAGAAAGUUAGGGGUGAAAUCCCGAGGCUCAACCUCGGAACUGCCUCUAAAACUCCUGGUCUUGAGUUCGAGAGAGGUGAGUGGAAUUCCAAGUGUAGAGGUGAAAUUCGUAGAUAUUUGGAGGAACACCAGUGGCGAAGGCGGCUCACUGGCUCGAUACUGACGCUGAGGUACGAAAGUGUGGGGAGCAAACAGGAUUAGAUACCCUGGUAGUCCACACCGUAAACGAUGAAUGCCAGUCGUCGGGCAGUAUA
rnacentral:rRNA from 1 species